UUUUUUGCUUCAUUAUGGAGUCCUGAGAUGA
rnacentral:piRNA from 1 species